GUCGUUCCUCCGCGUUACAGAGCUACAGCGGUCUCCGGGUGGCGAAGUGCGGAGACGGGGUUUUGGAGACGGUGGAUGGAGGAGGGGGAGGGAAAGCUGCCAACUUUGGAUACCAACCCCGUACACCCACCGAAGGGGAUGUCCCACUUUUUCCAGCGCUGGGAGCAAAAAGAUAACAGUGAGCGAGGUUGAAAAGUAAGACAUUGAUUUAAAUAGAAGAAAAACUGUUGUUUCAACCAACGAAGAGAUUCUUUGUUUUCUUAUCUGUAAAAUGUGAAAAAUCGUACCUAACCUACAGGGUGAUUGUGAGGAGUAAUUGAAAUAAAAUUCGAGGAAUUGUGUAACGUGAAGUACCAUGAACAAUAAAACAGGAGGCAGAAUGAAAAGUAAGCCUCUCUGUCGGGUGUUGAUGAGCUUUGGAGCAACGAGAUAAACUCAGCGGGUUUGGUAGUCUAAAUGGCACAAACCCUUAGCAGAGCAACUAGGAAAUAGCUUGUAAAAUUACACGUGCCUACCACUCUUCUAGGAAAAUUCUCGCCCACGUAUCUACAAAUACAAGAAUAUUCAUAGCAAACUUUAUAAGUUGCAAAAGAGCAGGAAACAUAAGUGCCAUUGACAGAAGUAAUAAGUAAAUAGUGGCGUAUUUAUAUAAUAGUAUAUAGCAGGUACGAAGAAUGAACCAGUGCUAUGUUUACUAGCAUGAAAAACCCAAAAAACAGGGUUGGUGGGCGCUUUGGCUCACGCCUGUAAUCCAGCACUUAGGGAGGAUGAAGCGGGAGGAUCGCUUGAGCCCAGGAGUUGGAGAACUGCCUGGGCAAUAUAGCGAGACCCCGUUAUUCACAAAAAGAAAAAAAAAAGACACAAACCAAAACAAAACAAGUUUAACUCCUCUCAUCGCAAGCCGGGUGCGGUGGCGUGUUCCUGUGGUCCCAACUUCUCGGGAAGCUGAGACAGGAGAAUCUCUUAAGCCCAGGAGUUGGAGGCCAGUGGGGACACCCAUCUCUUAGAAAAGGAAAUAAAAAAUAUAUAGUGUAAAAUAACAUCUAUAUAUUUAAAAACGUGCAAAAGAAUAUAAAAUUUUAGGAGUGUACAUAUGUCAUGAAAUUAUAAAGUCAUGUAUUGGAGUAACUAAAAUUUCAAGAUAGUGGUAAACUGGAAGGAGAUGUAAUGGAGAAGAACAGAAAGGCUUCACAUGCCUUGGUAAUGUUUUGUUAUUUAGGUUAAUGUUAAUUUCACAAGCAUGCCUUAUAUUAUUGUUUGUACCUUCUGGUAUGUCUGAAAUAUUUAAUAAUAAAUGAAUUUCUAAAG
rnacentral:lncRNA from 1 species